rnacentral:rRNA from 1 species
GACGAACGCUGGCGGCGUGCCUAACACAUGCAAGUCGAACGGAAAGGCCCUGCUUUUGUGGGGUGCUCGAGUGGCGAACGGGUGAGUAACACGUGAGUAACCUGCCCUUGACUUUGGGAUAACUUCAGGAAACUGGGGCUAAUACCGGAUAGGAGCUCCUGCUGCAUGGUGGGGGUUGGAAAGUUUCGGCGGUUGGGGAUGGACUCGCGGCUUAUCAGCUUGUUGGUGGGGUAGUGGCUUACCAAGGCUUUGACGGGUAGCCGGCCUGAGAGGGUGACCGGCCACAUUGGGACUGAGAUACGGCCCAGACUCCUACGGGAGGCAGCAGUGCGGAAUAUUGCACAAUGGGCGGAAGCCUGAUGCAGCAACGCCGCGUGCGGGAUGACGGCCUUCGGGUUGUAAACCGAUUUCGCCUGUGACGAAGCGUGAGUGACGGUAAUGGGUAAAGAAGCACCGGCUAACUACGUG